CAGCGAUGUUUUGUUAAUGUUGUUAUAACAUCCAAAGUACCGGCGGUUGAGUCCGUACAACGACUUUCUCUACUGGUCAAGAGCGUCUCUAAAACGUAGCUGUCACGAAAACUGCUCUUGGCGGCCGUCUUUAGAAAACGGUGGGGAAACUUCAAGUGAUUAACAGAACCAGGCUGUCUGUGUCGGAUUAGAUCGAAACCGUUUUUGUUGGCGCGGUUGUUAGAAACCGUUGUCUUCUGUCUGUUGCGGCGGUUUUUAGAAAACCGUUGGGCCUGUUGAGAGUCCUUAAGGAGUUGUUAUACCAACAGUCGUGAUAAUAUCUGGAUCGAAAUGGCGGCGGCUUUAGCCGGGGAUGAUCUGGCGCGGUCGACCAGCAGCCGGAGGAGCUGGACCUCCGGGAGCAAGCGGAGCUGGGCCUCCACGAGCUUCCGGGAGGUGUGGCAGGCGCCGCCGGAUGUGUUCAACCGGAGCGGGCGGCAGGAUGAGGAGGAAGAACUCCGGUGGGCCGCGAUCGAGCGGCUGCCGACUUAUGAUCGGUUGAGAAGAGGGAUGCUGAGGCAGGUGCUUGACAAUGGCAAAGUGGUGACUGAUGAGGUGGAUGUGACCAAGCUGGGAAUGCAGGAUAAGAAGCAGUUGAUGGAGAGCAUAUUGAAGGUUGUGGAAGAUGACAAUGAAAGGUUUUUGAGGAGACUUAGGGACAGAACUGAUAGGGUGGGGAUUGAGAUUCCGAAGAUUGAUAUUCGGUUCGAGAAACUGUCCAUCGAAGGAGAUGUAUAUGUUGGGAGCAGAGCACUGCCUACUCUGCUUAAUGCUACCUUGAACACUAUUGAGAGUGUUCUGGGAUUGAUUAAGCUUGCUCCAUCAAAGAAGAGAAAUAUCCAGAUACUUAAAGACGUUAGUGGAAUAGUGAGACCCUCCAGGAUGACCCUACUACUGGGUCCUCCAGGUGCAGGCAAAACAACCUUGUUACUGGCACUUGCAGGGAAGCUUGAUGAUGACCUAAGGGUGUCUGGGAAAAUCACCUACUGUGGUCAUGAGUUGAAUGAGUUUGUUCCCAAGAGGACAUGUGCUUAUAUCAGUCAACAUGAUCUUCACUAUGGAGAGAUGACAGUGAGAGAGACAUUAGAUUUCUCAGGGCGGUGUUUGGGUGUGGGAAGUAGAUAUCAAAUGUUGGCAGAACUCUCAAGAAGAGAGAAAGAAGCAGGAAUUAAGCCAGACCCUGAGAUUGAUGCAUUCAUGAAAGCCACCUCAGUGUCAGGCCAGAAGACUAGUUUGGUCACAGAUUAUGUUCUCAAGAUACUUGGAUUGGAUAUCUGUGCUGAUAUUAUGGUUGGUGAUGAUAUGAGAAGGGGUAUUUCUGGCGGCCAGAAAAAGCGUGUGACGACUGGGGAGAUGUUGGUAGGACCAGCAAAGGUUCUUUUGAUGGAUGAAAUUUCAACAGGGUUAGACAGUUCCACUACCUUUCAGAUAUGCAGAUACAUGAGGCAAUUGGUUCACAUAAUGGAUGUAACCAUGGUCAUCUCUCUUCUUCAGCCAGCACCAGAGACAUUUGAGCUGUUUGAUGACCUUAUCUUACUUUCCGAAGGUCAGAUUGUGUACCAAGGCCUGCGCGAGAGUGUCCUAGAGUUCUUUGAAUACAUGGGCUUCAAAUGCCCUGAAAGGAAAGGAGUUGCUGACUUUUUGCAAGAAGUAACAUCCAAGAAGGACCAAGAACAAUAUUGGUUUAAGAAGGACCAACCUUAUAGAUAUAUUGCAGUUCCUGAGUUUGUUGAAUCCUUCAGCUCUUUUCGCACUGGCCAACAGCUUGCAGCUGAUCUUGGAGUUCCUUAUGACAAGUCCAGGGCUCAUCCAGCUGCACUGGUAACUGAGAAAUAUGGUAUUUCAAACUGGGAAUUGUUCAAGGCAUGUUUUUCAAGGGAGUGGCUGCUAAUGAAGCGCAAUUCUUUCGUAUACGUGUUCAAGACCACCCAGAUAACAAUCAUGUCACUGAUUGCCCUUACUGUGUUCCUUAGGACAGAAAUGCCAGUGGGCACAGUACAAGAUGGAGGAAAAUUUUUCGGUGCACUGUUUUUCAGUCUGAUUAAUGUGAUGUUUAAUGGUAUGGCUGAACUGGCAAUGACAGUUUUCAGGCUUCCUGUUUUCUAUAAGCAGAGGGAUUUCUUGUUUUAUCCUGCAUGGGCUUUUGGAUUGCCUAUUUGGGUCCUCAGGAUCCCCCUAUCAUUUAUGGAAUCAGGGAUAUGGAUCAUUCUUACCUAUUACACCAUUGGAUUUGCUCCAGCUGCUAGCAGAUUUUUCAAACAGUUCUUGGCAUUCUUUGGCAUACAUCAGAUGGCUCUGUCACUCUUUCGGUUCAUUGCUGCACUGGGAAGAACACAAGUUGUUGCAAAUACACUUGGCACCUUUACUUUGCUAAUGGUAUUUGUGCUGGGCGGAUUUAUUGUUGCCAAAAACGACCUUGAGCCUUGGAUGUUAUGGGGCUACUAUGUCUCUCCUAUGAUGUAUGGACAGAAUGCAAUCGUCAUGAACGAAUUUCUCGAUAAAAGAUGGAGUGCACCAAAUCCAGAUCCGAGAAUUAAUGAAACUACAGUUGGGAGAGUCCUCCUCAAGUCUAGAGGAUUCUUCACAGAUGAAUAUUGGUAUUGGAUAUGUGUUGGAGCACUAUUUGGGUUUUCUUUUCUCUUCAACAUUUUCUUCAUUGCAGCAUUGACUUUUCUGAACCCUCUUGGAGAUACAAAAGCUGUCAUAGCUGAUGAUGAAUAGUUUUUGGUUUCUUUUCCAUCAAAAGUUUGAGCAUUCUGACGGAAAAGGACAUCAAUUACAGAUAUAGAUAUGGCAGUGAAAAGUUAUUCAGAAAUUGUUGGUGGUUCAGAUCAUGCACCAAAGAAAGGAAUGGUUUUGCCCUUCCAACCCCUUUCACUUGCGUUUAACCAUGUGAACUACUACGUGGAUAUGCCUGCUGAAAUGAAGAGUCAAGGAGUUGAAGAAGAUCGCCUUCAACUGCUACGAGAUGUCAGCGGUGCUUUUAGACCAGGCAUAUUGACAGCACUUGUAGGUGUUAGUGGUGCUGGAAAGACAACUCUUAUGGACGUCUUAGCGGGAAGAAAGACUGGUGGCUAUAUUGAAGGGAGCAUUAGCAUCUCUGGUUAUCCAAAGAACCAAGAAACAUUUGCUCGUGUUAGCGGUUAUUGUGAACAGAAUGACAUUCAUUCGCCUCAUGUUACCGUCUACGAAUCUCUCCUGUAUUCAGCCUGGCUCCGUCUUACUUCAGAAGUAAAGACACAAACACGAAAGAUGUUUGUUGAAGAAGUCAUGGAACUGGUUGAGCUUAACCCAAUAAGAGAUGCUCUCGUUGGCCUUCCAGGAAUAGAUGGUCUUUCAACAGAACAAAGGAAGAGAUUAACCAUAGCUGUGGAGCUGGUUGCCAACCCCUCUAUCAUUUUCAUGGAUGAACCAACAUCUGGGCUUGAUGCCAGGGCUGCUGCUAUUGUUAUGCGUACUGUGAGAAACACAGUGGACACGGGGAGAACUGUCGUCUGCACAAUUCACCAGCCAAGUAUAGAUAUUUUUGAAGCUUUCGAUGAGUUACUUCUGAUGAAACGUGGAGGACAAGUCAUUUAUGCUGGACCUCUCGGUCGCCAAUCUCACAAGCUUGUAGAAUAUUUUGAAGCCGUCCCAGGGGUCACUAAGAUCAAAGAUGGUUACAAUCCUGCUACAUGGAUGCUUGAGGUCACUGCUCCUGCAGUUGAGGCUCAACUUGAUGUGGACUUUGCAGACAUUUAUGCCAACUCCUCACUUUACCAGAGGAACCAGGAACUUAUCAAAGAUCUUAGUACUGCGGCGCCAGGGUCCAAGGAUCUCUACUUCCCAACCAAAUACUCCCAACCUUUCUCUGUUCAGUGCAAAGCCUCUUUCUGGAAAAUGCAUUGGUCUUAUUGGAGAAACCCUCAGUACAAUGCCAUUCGAUUCUUUAUGACAAUAGUCAUUGGUUGUUUAUUUGGUCUUAUCUUCUGGCAAAAGGGACAGCAGACAACCCAACAGCAAGAUCUCAUGAACCUUUUGGGAGCCAUGUAUGCUGCUGUGCUUUUCCUUGGAGCCACCAAUGCUUCCGCGGUCCAAUCUGUUGUUGCUAUCGAAAGAACAGUUUUCUACCGCGAAAGAGCUGCCGGGAUGUAUUCUGAACUGCCUUAUGCAUUUGCUCAGGUGGCCAUAGAGACAAUCUAUGUUGCAAUUCAAACUUUUAUUUACACUCUUCUCCUCUAUUCUAUGAUUGGAUUUGAGUGGAAAGUAGGCAAAUUCCUGUGGUUCUACUACUACAUUCUAAUGUGCUUCGUCUACUUCACAAUGUAUGGUAUGAUGGUGGUUGCACUAACUCCAGGCCACCAGAUUGCUGCCAUUGUUAUGUCCUUCUUCCUCAGUUUCUGGAACUUGUUUUCCGGCUUUCUCAUUCCUAGGCCGCAAAUUCCUAUCUGGUGGAGGUGGUACUACUGGGCUUCACCUGUGGCCUGGACACUUUAUGGCCUUGUGACCUCUCAAGUGGGUGACAAAAAUGCUGAUCUUGUGCUACCUGGAUAUGGUACCAUGCCAUUGAAGAAGUUCCUCAAGGAUGACUUGGGUUUUGAGCAUGACUUCCUGCCAGCUGUCGCCGCAGCACACGUUGGCUGGGUUCUGCUUUUCUUCUUUGUGUUCGCCUAUGGCAUCAAGUUCCUCAACUUCCAAAGGAGAUAAAUAAACAGCUUCACUUCUACAAUUCUCAGAGUCUUAGAAAAAUAGGAUAGUAUUUUCUGUUAAUCAAGGAUGAGGGAAACAAAACAGUUGCCCCAUUUUUGUGUAUUAUGGCAUUCUUUUGUCCUGGUUUUUCUACAUGAGCGGUUACAAUUUAGGUAUAAUAGGCACAGGCAAAAUGCUUUGAUGUAAACUGAGUAUUGUUUGUGCUAUAUAAUUUACUGUAUCCAAAAUGAGAUCUAUUAUUUUUCU